GUCGGAGGUGGCUUAGGACAUACAAGUGCGUAAUACACAGCUCCGAACUGUAUAAGGUCUUCCACAUAUCUUAAUGAUGAAAAACAUUGGUCAAAAUACCACUUAACUGAUCCAAGAUGCCUAUCACUCAACUCAUCGGUGAUCACUCUCAAGGUGUAAAUUAUGAUAUGCAGGAAAAUAACAAAAGAACAACAAAGAAAGAUAGAAAUUUACAAUGGAGGGAGGUCCAAAGCUUUACAAAUAUAUUCUACAACAGGUCCUUCUUUUGUGACGACAAGAUGCUCAACCCUAGGUGGGCUGUUCUGCAAAGGGCAUGGCAUCAAGCGU
rnacentral:misc_RNA from 1 species